GAAUAAAUAAUAAUAAUAAUAAUAAUAAUAAUAAUAAUAAUAAUAAUAAUAAUAAUAAUAAUAAGAUUGAUGUUGUAUACCUUUCAAAAAAAUAUUGAUGUUUUCCAUACCAUGUAUAAUUGUUUUGGUAAACUUAUGUACGUGAUAAUUUAUUUUUAUUAUAGCAGAUUCGUCUCUUUAAUCUAAUGUAGUUCCUUAAUUUAUCAUUCACGCAUAACUAAAUAGUUAUUUUUUAUCAGCA
rnacentral:lncRNA from 1 species